GGACGUAUAGCUCAGUGGUGGAGCGUGUGUUUAGCAUGCAUGAGGUCCUGGGUUCAAUCCCCAGUACCACCA
rnacentral:tRNA from 1 species